rnacentral:rRNA from 1 species
AGUCGAGCGAGACCUUCGGGUCUAGCGGCGGACGGGUUAGUAACGCGUGGGAAUAUACCCUUCACUACGGAAUAGCCUCGGGAAACUGGGAGUAAUACCGUAUACGCCCUUUUGGGGAAAGAUUUAUCGGUGAAGGAUUAGCCCGCGUCUGAUUAGAUAGUUGGUGGGGUAAUGGCCUACCAAGUCUACGAUCAGUAGCUGGUUUGAGAGGAUGAUCAGCAACACUGGGACUGAGACACGGCCCAGACUCCUACGGGAGGCAGCAGUGGGGAAUCUUAGACAAUGGGCGCAAGCCUGAUCUAGCCAUGCCGCGUGAGUGACGAAGGCCUUAGGGUCGUAAAGCUCUUUCGCCAGAGAUGAUAAUGACAGUAUCUGGUAAAGAAACCCCGGCUAACUCCGUGCCAGCAGCCGCGGUAAUACGGAGGGGGUUAGCGUUGUUCGGAAUUACUGGGCGUAAAGCGCACGUAGGCGGAUUGGAAAGUAUGGGGUGAAAUCCCAGGGCUCAACCCUGGAACUGCCUUGUAAACUCCCAGUCUAGAGUUCGAGAGAGGUGAGUGGAAUUCCAAGUGUAGAGGUGAAAUUCGUAGAUAUUUGGAGGAACACCAGUGGCGAAGGCGGCUCACUGGCUCGAUACUGACGCUGAGGUGCGAAAGUGUGGGGAGCAAACAGGAUUAGAUACCCUGGUAGUCCACACCGUAAACGAUGAAUGCCAGACGUCAGGGGGCUUGCCCUUUGGUGUCACACCUAACGGAUUAAGCAUUCCGCCUGGGGAGUACGGUCGCAAGAUUAAAAACUCAAGGAAUUGACGGGGGCCCGCACAAGCGGU